rnacentral:rRNA from 1 species
AUUGAACGCUAGCGGGAUGCUUUACACAUGCAAGUCGAACGGCAGCGCGGACUUCGGUCUGGCGGCGAGUGGCGAACGGGUGAGUAAUGUAUCGGAACGUGCCCAGUAGCGGGGGAUAACUACGCGAAAGCGUAGCUAAUACCGCAUACGCCCUACGGGGGAAAGCAGGGGAUCGUAAGACCUUGCACUAUUGGAGCGGCCGAUGUCGGAUUAGCUAGUUGGUGAGGUAACGGCUCACCAAGGCGACGAUCCGUAGCUGGUUUGAGAGGACGACCAGCCACACUGGGACUGAGACACGGCCCAGACUCCUACGGGAGGCAGCAGUGGGGAAUUUUGGACAAUGGGGGCAAACCUGAUCCAGCCAUCCCGCGUGUGCGAUGAAGGCCUUCGGGUUGUAAAGCACUUUUGGCAGGAAAGAAACGUCGCGGGCUAAUACCCCGUGGAACUGACGGUACCUGCAGAAUAAGCACCGGCUAACUACGUG